rnacentral:tRNA from 1 species
CACUAAGAAGCUUUCAUGUACAGCAACAG